AACAAUACUGUCAGACUAUGUGAGACUGCAGCAGUAAAACUCUGGUAGUGUUACAAUGAACAAGAGAGGAGCACAUAGGAAAAAUAUUCGCCUCGUACGCGUGGAUUCAUUUUGGAGCGUGAAGUUAAAUUCUUCGUGGAGACCUCCUGGCAAAUCGAGUUUUAAAUACCAAUACACACGAGGAGCACAAAGUGCAGAUUACAGAAAACAGAGGUCAUAUAGGCGAGGAGUUUUCUCACACUGGUGGGAUAGACACUCACUCUUUUCCCCGUUUGUUGUCAGAACUGCCUUGUGUGUGCCUGUCAUGUGGCACACACUGAAGUUGGAUUCCUCUGAGAUUUUGGUGAUGAGCAGAACUCUUUCAUUCCACCACAUCAUGAAAACGCUCUCUAUUGGAGGGGUUUUUUUAGUGCAGUGAACUCACUUUCGUGGGUUUAAGAAAACACACUGAGAUGAUUUGAGCGUUGCGACAUAGCACAUUGUCAAGCUGGAAGCAACCAUUCAAAGAUGACAAUAAUAGGUAGGCUGUGGCAUUUAGGUUUGUGCUAAAAAGCCCAAAAUGUGCCAUAAAAGACCUCGAUAGUACACCAGCAGCAGCAGCCUGAACAAAGCAGGAUGGAUCCACGCCUUCUUAUUGUUUGCACCAAAUUCUUAAGCUUCCAUUCGAUUCACAGCUGAAUAUGAGACUUGUCAAACCAGGCAAUGUUAAUCCAAACUUUUAUUGUCCAAUUUGAUGAGUCACUGAUAAUUACAGCCUCAAAUACCUAUUCUUAGGACAAGGUGUGGUCUUCUGCUGAUGUAGCCCAAGUUUAAUGUGUUGUGUGAGAUGCUGUUCCGCAUACUUGCCUUCCUAACAGCUCAAUGCUUAUUGGAAGGCGUGAUACCAAAGACCAUUGUCCGCUGACCUCUGGCAUCAACAAGACAUUUUCCCUCAGAGAAUUCCCACUCACUUGAUAAUUUCUCUUUUUCAGUUGAUUCCAUGUAAACUCUAUAGAUUGCUAUGUGGACACUGUCAUUUUCUCAAAUACUCAUGUCUGGAACCAACAAUCAUGCCACAUUCAAAGUCACUUAAAUCACCUUUCUUCCCCAUUCCUAUGUUUAAGACUACAUGCUUAAACAAGUCAAAUUUCUGCCUUGCUAUUGGCUGAUUGAAUAAUUUAGCAAAAAGUGUCAUUUGUAAAGUCAAAGAGGUGCAACGUGUUUAGUUUCUGGGGAUUCAGAACACAGGCAGUAGUUAGACAGC